UGUAUAAGAAAAAAGAACAUAUGGAUGUUCAGUGUUGGUAAGAACUAUAGAUUUCAGACAUGGAGGAUUGGAUGGAGAAUCUUCCUGAAAGACCACAACCAACCCCAAGUGUCAACUUACUGGGCCAUGUAAUUCACCACCGGCCCAGCUUCUAUGUCCCUCUAAACCUCCUGGAAAGGAUGAUAGGAGGAAUAAUAAUAAAGAAGAAUAAAGAGGCUUUGGCUUUCCAUUUCCUGACCUUGAUGUUUUCCUUUAGAGUGGACCUUAUACACAGAAGAACAGCAUUAGAAGUCACUACUACAGGAUAUAGGGAACCAGCUGAGAAAAUCGAAGCACAGAGAAGUUAA
rnacentral:lncRNA from 1 species